rnacentral:lncRNA from 1 species
UGAGCCUUGGAAACCAGAGCGACUUCAAACUGCAGUAGCCCCCAGAGUCAGGAGGGUCAAGUUCAGCCGCCGGGGAGGAGGAAAAACAAAUCCCGAUUUGCCAAAAAAAGAAGUUUCAGGCCGGUGCCCCCUCCCCCUCCCAGCCCCACUCCCCCUCGCUGUCUCUUGCUGGCUGAUUUUAAUUCUCUCCUACCGGGAGCAGCAGAGGAUCUGGAGGUGGCUGGACCCGAGGGGCCGCCGCCGCCGCUGCUGCAAGUUUUCUGGGGGCUCCUGGCAAACGGGGAGCAGACUAGGCACCGGCAUGCAGAGUAGUAAGUUGGGUGAACUUGGGAGGGUAGGGAGGGUUUCUGCGAGGGGUCUUGGAGUGGCCCACAAAGUGGUAAAACAGCAUAGACUGCCUUUGGGUUUGAAGAGUUUAGUUUGUAAAGCCAGGCUUCAAACUUUUUUCCCUUAAAGGCCCAGCAGGGCUGGAGGGAGAGAGUGUGGCAUCCUCUCCUGGUAUACCCGUCUCUGGGCAGCUCAGGGCAGCCUGGGCCCAGGGGUCUGUGCCCUGUCGGUACCAUGAGGCAGGGCCUUGUAGCCAGGGCGCUUCCGUAGGGGCUGAGCAAGGGGCAGACUUCCUCUGCGGUGCGGUUGAUGCGCCAUGUGUCGAGCGGGUCAGGGGACACGGGCUGGUGAUUAAACGCCUGACAGCGGUGGGACAUGCAGGCAGACAGGCUCUUUGCUUUCUGUCUAGUUCCUGUUUGGGCUGUAGAGUCUGAAACGCAUCUUUGAAAGGCCAAGGCAAACACCUCUAUCCCUCCAAAUAACUCCAGGAUUAUAGGACCCCAUGAAUAAUUUGAGGGUGAAGCAGAAGUGGGAGCUGUUUGAAGUGCAAACUGUUUUUGAGGCUGGGAAAGCUUUUUCUGUGAGUACCUGUCUGAGAUGAUGGUGUUUCCCCUUUCACCAGGGAAGUCACUAACUGUUUUAUGGCUCUAGGAUCCUAAAGCCAUUGAAGUGAGAGGACCCGAGGACUUACUUAUGGGGGCUUCAGAGAGAACCUUGAUUGGACUCACUACAUUUUAAGACCUGGCUGACUUCCCCAUAUCUUUUUAGGCCUCAGAUUUGAUCUUUUGAAAGUUUUUGAGUCAGAGCUAUGGAUUUAAUGAUGAAUCCAAAUUAGGAUAGAAUAUCCAUCCUUUAUCCGGUUUGGGGAAAUCACCGCUAGCAUUUUAAACAAGGUAAGUGAAGAGAGACUGGCCGCGAGAAGAAGCAAAAUCAGACACAAGUUAGGCCGAUUCAUUGAACUUGUGUAUGCUCUCCAGGUGAACAGGCAAGGGCCUGGAAGAGAUAGUACAAAAACAAAAAUACAGAUAAGGGCCUGAGACAAGAUUACAAAGAAGUGAUCAUUCUAGGCCUGGUUAGCUAAAUUUGAUUACUCAAGCCUAAAGAAAAAACUAAAGUAGACUUCCCCGAUAAGCCUUUGGAGUGCUGUAAACUCUUUAGCGCAAACCCAGCAGCCUCCGUAGCAUCUCGAUCCUUCGCUACAGGUUUUAGGAAGACUUGAUAUUUUGAAAAGGCUGCUAGAGUUAAACAUGUUAGGGACUGUCAGGAAAGUACUGCAGCUAGCAGGUCCUUGACGUGGGCAAAAUGAGAAUGAAAGUCUCUAAUCUCAGUGCUGGGCAGCUUCUUAGUUACUGUUCACUUGCUUCUAAGGCUCUCUCAGUUAAUGCAGUAUUGGUGUAGAAAAGCAGAGGUUCUAAAAUAAUCACCAUGCGGCUUUUCCCCCUUUUCCUUUCCCCAAGUAUGACAGGGUUGUGAAUAAAUACAGGGUUUGUAUGGGAAGAUGAAGCGUUUCCUGUAAGUUUCGAUGCUGACAAGACAGUCUGGAAAUGAUACCAACAUUCUGAGGAUUUUUUUUUUUUAAACCUUUGAGCGAAAGUUUAUUAAUGGCAUGCUCAAACUUCACAAGUUAAACUUGUAUGUUCAUCAUGUUUAUCCUUCUGUAAGAUUUCAGAACUUCCUUUUAAAGCUAUACUCUUGAGGUCAAAACGUCUCCAGUCAGUUAAGUAGACAGGGCUCCGAAUAUGCUAGUUUGGUGAUUAUGUCUAGAUAUUAGUACGGUGAAAAUAAAACUGCAAAGGAGGAAAUCAUGUCUUAAUGCCUCUAUUCUGCCGUGAUUUCUCUAACUGCAAGAUAUUGGGAACCUUCAUCAGUGCUCGGCAAAAUUUUAUUUACCUUUGGUGAGCUGAUUUUCAUGGCUUCCCAAUAUGCCUGUUGCAUGGUAAGCUAUGUUUGUGUAGAAUACUUUUACAUACAUAAUAACUAAGUCUGACACUCUCCAAAUAACUCGUAGAAAGUAGCUAGGAAAAAAGUUUGUCACUUCUGAAUUUUAGAUUCUGUUAGUGUUUGUGCUGCUGGGUGGCUCUUGUCCUUUGUUAUAGCUAGCAUUAAAGGUGCGGAAGAGACUGCCGGAGUGGCUGUGAAUCCUGAGUUGAAUUCAGAGCUCCACACUUUUGACUACUAAUAUUGUGAACAAUUUUACAUAAAUUUCUACAUACUUUCAUACUAACCAGUUUAGCAUCCAAAUCGGUGUGUAUUUAAUCAUGAGUGACUUACAUGUGCCCUUAUGUUGUUUUUGGCAUUAUUUUUACUUUUCUUUUAAGUCAUAUAACACUCCUGAAUUUAUUCUAGUUUUCACUAUAGGUCUCUGUAAAACACAUAGGGAAAUCUUCAUUCAUAAGAAAACCUUCUCAACAGGGAUGUGAAUGCACCUGUGGGAAAGUUGCUCUUAAGAUAAAGUAUUUAAUGGUGCUUUUACUAAUGUUGGUAUUUAUUAUUAUUAUUAUUAUUAUUAUUAUGAGUCCAUGCACAGAGAGAAGCCACUAUUUGCUUCUAAAGAUAUAUGCAUUUUCUAUUAAGAACUAAGGCCACGGCGUGAGGUUUUGUAAACACUUAACGCUAUUUUUUGAAGUAAAUUGACAUUGCUGAAAAAUUUUAAACUUGCAAAAGACUUUGUUUUUGAGUUAGAACUUUAUUUUGAAUUUGAAAUUGGUGUCAGCAUGGAUAACUGGCUUUCUGAUAAUAUAUACAUAUAUAUUAUCAAAAAAUAACAAAUUAUAUAUAUAUAAUUUUGUUAAUCUAAUACAUCCUUUGAGAGCAAACAAUAAUAUCAAAACACUGUGUUAUUGUUCAUAGAACAAAAUAGACUUUCAGAGAGUUGCGGACAGGUGUCUAUAAUUGAUUUCAAGGGAAAUUAUUAUUUUUGAAACAAGCGAUGAACUUUAAAUAAAACAACUGGCUCCCAUUAAAACAUAUCCUCAUGAAGAUAUUCUCUGGUGUGUAAAAUGAAGCCAUUCAUUCAACACACUGACAACUUUCCACUUGGUAUUUGCCUCUGCUUAAUUUAGUUUCCUCGGGACAGCUAGUGUGGUAGCCUGCAUCUGUUUUUGGCAGGCAUAGAAAACUAUAAACUCAGACAGUUCUGACUCAAAUAUUGUAUUUAGCUCAUGAGUUACAAUCAAUUUGAUAAAGAACAGGCAAGUUGUAUGAGCUUGCUUCCUGUUGUUCAUCCUUGGCCCAGCUUUCAGGUAACAGACUUCUCGUUCUUCUUUUUCUAGUUAUGAUUACUAAUACUGCUGAUAGCUAAUUAUUCUUGUUAUGCUUCCUUAUUUAUUAUUUUUUUUGAGCUAUGGGGGAAUGAAUAAUAACAUAUACAGACAUACAUAUACAGCAUAUCUAUGGAAUAGCUACAUUUUAUUUGGGGCUAUGUGGAAGUGAAUUGUGUUGUCAUAACAGGAUUUAUGGGAUCUAAUGGAGCCAUUGUAGAUAUAAUAUAAAGACAAUUUACUAUCGAGCUGAAAUUUAACAUCAUUUUCCAAGUAUACUUAUUAUGCUCAUGUAUAGAAAAGAUUUAACAUACUUUACAUUAUUACUUGCAUUUUAGAAACUGAGCAGUUGGUUUUAACAUGACCAAAAUCACUUUUCUCCUCAACUUUUUGAUCAGUCUACUGAAAUACCCUAAAAUGCCAAGGUUUUCUUUUUGACUACCGCUUAGUUGCAAAUAGAGAUCAGCUUGUUUUAUCUUUCAAUGUAACUUGGUCCAAAGUAUUUGCAUUAAAUAUUCUAUUAUUGAUAACCUUCAUAAGUGACACUUCAAAUGGUACAGUUAUGCCCAUGUUGGGGUGUCUUUAUAUCACUCUAUGACCCUUGUUUCCCUGGGAAGUGAAUUUGCAAACCUUUGGUUUGUUUCUCUGUAGGAUAUAAUAAUGGAGAAAUUGAUUUGGGUUGGAAAGAGAUCUUGGGGCAUAAGGAAACGCUUUUACUGAAUUCAUAAGAUGCUGAACAUUAUUUGGAUUGUUAAAAGCUAGUCCAGAGAAGCCUGCUAGAGAUAAUAGCUACCGGAACCAUUGUAACUUUGCCGCACGGUACUUUUUAUUAUCCCAUCUCUUUUUGACCCCUCAGAGCGCAGUUCCAAGUACCAAAAACAAAGAUGAAAUUAUCAGUGUACUUCAGAUCUGAAGCAUCAUUGAAAUAAGUUUUUGACUCAAGGUAUAAUUGAAAUACAAGCAUCAAGGCUGGCCGUACAGCAUGUUGCAUUCAAAAGAAUAAGAUAAAAAUUACUUUUAAUUUUUAAGAUGUUGCUAGCUCUUUAAAAACCUGCAGUACAUACUUUACAAGUGGCUCGACACCUUCCCUGCUGCUCAGUUUAUACAAGUAGGAAACUUUCUCUCCUGCUCUCUCUCUCUCUCUCUCUCUCUCUCUCUCUCUCUCUCUCUCUUGUUUUCUCUAAACCAACUGACGUCAUGACAAACUUUGCUUUAAAAGAACAGACAGAAGUAAUUGGUAGCUUUUAACUUUUAAUAAUGUUCUGCAAUGGUUUCGGUGGCCAAAAUGCUAUUUUUUUCUUAAAAGGGGGAAAAAAAAAGUUCAAGUAAAAACGGGCUUGUGGCCCGAGGAAGAAAAGCUCCGUUGAUACAGUUAUUUUUAUUCUUGUUUUUCAAUCUGUUAUUAAAACUCAUUCAUGCUUAGCUCUGCUAUAACUCCUGAGCUGUUCUCAGUGAUGGCUGGUGCAUUUGAGGUUGCCACCAUUUAAACAGUUUGGGAGUUUGCCGGGAAAAUGGGUGUUUGUGUUACUUUAUUUCUUUACUAUUUG